GAUCUCGCACAUCACUUCCACAUUUGGGUUGCCAAAUCAUUAUUGAGUGCAGCAUUGACGAUCUCAAUGUAUUAAUUUUGUUAUCUUUUCUCGUAAUUUCAUCCAUACAUUUUCAAUUGUCAAUACUGCAAUCAAUCAUUCUUUGGCAAAUCUAAUGGCUGAGAUCGAACAGGUCCGUAGAAUACAAAAUCAUUUACCAAAGGUGUAGAACCUGCUCUGGUUUUCAGAAGCCGCCAGAUCUGUGAGAUAUAAAAGCAAUCGAAUUCAUUCACAGACAAUCAUCGGAGAUCUCUCACCCAAUCAUUAAAUGCCUGCGCAAAUUAUUUUUAAAAACACUAUUAAAUGAGGCGGAAGAGAUCAGGGGUGGAGAUUCGUUACAGGGGAAUGAGGAGGCAGCCAAGGGAAAAUACACGGCAGAGAUACUGCAGAAACACUACAGAUUAUACAGGAUAUGCUCACAAUGGAAUUGUUGAAAAGACUUCAGAGACUUUCAAGCAAAUGAAAUUGGCAGCAGGUGUAAAGCCAAAUUUCACUAUGUAAUGCCUAUUUCAUUUAUGGAAGUCUUGGAACAGGGUAUGGAUAUCAAUCGAAGUGUAGAGGAAAGGAGGAUUUUUGUCAAGUUUCACAGUCUAGCAAUUGAUUUGGUAACAUGUAUCCACAAUGUGGAAGCAUGGAGAUGGCCUCUAAUGUGAACUGUUUGAUAGAAUACCUCAAAGAGAUGGCCUCUAAUGUGAACUGUUUGACAGAAUGCCUCACAGAGAUGUGAUAUCAUGUGAACUGUUUGACAGAAUGCCUCAAAGAGACGUCAUCUCAUGGAAUGCCAUGAUCGCAGGAUGUGCACAAAAUAGAAUUGCCUUGAAAACAAAAUGGAACUGUUAGAAACUUUGAAGCAAAUGCAAUUAGCAGAUGCAAAGCUAAAUUCCACAACCUUUUCCAGCAUCCUCCAUGCCUGUUAUUCUGCCUACUUGUUUCUAUAAUAUAGAAGAAAAAUAAAUUAAAUUAUUA